CCGUACCGGGCCUGUCGCGUCUUUUGUCGUACUUGAACUCUCACACAGUACGUAUCGUUGCGUGACCGCGGUUUUCGCCGACGCGUGAGUGUCCGCUGUGGACGAUAAUAUUUUUUUUUGUCGCUCUGCGUCGUGUGUGCGCGUUGUGCGGUGCGUUGUUUUUUACACCGUCGUGUGUGCUUUGCCGCCGGUCGGUCCGUUGCCGUCGCGCAUGUUUGCUGCUGGUCGGCCCUUUCGCCGUUGUGCGUUGCUACUGGUCGGCCCUUUCGCCGUCGUGCGUGUUUGCUGUUGGUCGGCCCUUCGCCGUCGUGCAUGCUUGCUGUAGGUCGACCCUUCGCCGUCGUGCGUGUUUGCCGCUAGUCGGUCCCAGUGUGACCGAAAUUGUGUGCCGCCGGUCCAUGCUGUGCAGUUGGCUCUCCUGCAGUUGGUGAUGUUUUACCUUUUUAUCAACUUUUAUGUACGUGAAUCGCCACAGCGUAAUGUCGACGUAGUACAAGCCACGCACCCAAGAUAUGUAUUGGUCACUUACGACAAACUCAUCAUGAUACUGUAGUGCAUAAAUAGUACGAACAAUGAUAUCGCGAAGAUCCAUCAGUUCAUUGGCAGUCAUCUUCCGAAUGAUGGAACGACGGACACGGAAAUGUUUUUUAAUUCUGGGCACCAUAUAUGCAACGGAUUUGUCCAUGUCGAGGAUCGAGGAACAAAGAAUCACUAAAUAAGUCAAAACGGCAAGAUGAUAUUUGCAAUAAAAUAAAAUAAAAUGGUAAAAAAAAAAAAUAAAGAUACUUUGAAAUGUGUCAUAAAUUCAACUUGUUGGACCA